rnacentral:rRNA from 1 species
AGCUACCCGCCUGAACUUAGCAUAUCAAUAAGCGGAGGAAAAGAAACCAACAGGGAUUGCCCCAGUAACGGCGAGUGAAGCGGCAAGAGCUCAAAUUUGAAAUCUGGCCUCCCCCGGGGGCCCGAGUUGUAAUUUGCAGAGGAUGCUUCGGGUGCGGCCGCCGUCUAAGUUCCUUGGAACAGGACGUCAGAGAGGGUGAGAAUCCCGUCUUGGGCGGGCGGUCCGCGCCCGUGUGAAGCUCCUUCGACGAGUCGAGUUGUUUGGGAAUGCAGCUCUAAGCGGGUGGUAAAUUUCAUCUAAAGCUAAAUAUUGGCCGGAGACCGAUAGCGCACAAGUAGAGUGAUCGAAAGGUUAAAAGCACCUUGAAAAGGGAGUUAAACAGCACGUGAAAUUGUUGAAAGGGAAGCGCUUGCGGCCAGACUCGGGGGCGGGGUUCAGCGGGUGCUCGUCGCCCGUGUAUUCCUCGUCUCCCGGGCCAGCAUCAGUUUCGACGGCCGGUCAAAGGCCCCCGGAAUGUGUCGUCUCUCGGGACGUCUUAUAGCCGGGGGUGCAAUGCGGCCCGUCGGGACUGAGGAACGCGCUCCGGCUCGGAUGCUGGCGUAAUGGCCGUAAGCGGCCCGUCUUGAAACACGGACCAAGGAGUCUAACAUCCACGCGAGUGUUCGGGUGUCAAACCCGUGCGCGCAGUGAAAGCGAACGGAGGUGGGAGCCUUAGGGCGCACCAUCGACCGAUCCUGAAGUCUUCGGAUGGAUUUGAGUAGGAGCGUGGCCGUUGGGACCCGAAAGAUGGUGAACUAUGCCUGAAUAGGGUGAAGCCAGAGGAAACUCUGGUGGAGGCUCGCAGCGGUUCUGACGUGCAAAUCGAUCGUCAAAUUUGGGCAUAGGGGCGAAAGACUAAUCGAACCAUCUAGUAGCUGGUUCCUGCCGAGU